rnacentral:rRNA from 1 species
GACGAACGCUGGCGGUGUGCUUAACACAUGCAAGUGGUGCGACGAACCAGAGCUUGCUCUGGGGCAAAGCCGCGAACGGGUGAGUAACACGUGGGUAAUCUACCCCGAUGACCGGGACAACCCGAGGAAACUCGGGCUAAUACCGGAUGUGGUACGGAGACAUAAGUCUCUUUACUAAAGGUAGCUUCGGCUUCCGCAUUGGGAGGGGCCCGCGGCCCAUUAGCUAGUUGGUGGGGUCAAGGCCUACCAAGGCAACGAUGGGUAGCUGGUCUGAGAGGACGAUCGGCCACACUGGGACUGAGACACGGCCCAGACUCCUACGGAGGCAGCAGUGGGGAAUCUUGCGCAAUGCGCGAAAGCGUGACGCAGCAACACCGCGUGAGGGAAGACGGGCCUUAGGGUUGUAAACCUCUUUCAGAUGGGACGAAGGUGAUGCGGUGAAUAGCCGAUGUCAUUGACGGUACCGUCAGAAGAAGCUCCGGCUAACUACGUGCCAGCAGCCGCGGUAAU